AGUGAACGCUGGCGGUAGGCCUAACACAUGCAAGUCGAACGGCAGCACAGUAAGAGCUUGCUCUUACGGGUGGCGAGUGGCGGACGGGUGAGGAAUACAUCGGAAUCUACUUUUUCGUGGGGGAUCACGUAGGGAAACUUACGCUAAUACCGCAUACGACCUACGGGUGAAAGCAGGGGAUCUUCGCACCUUGCGCGAUUGAAUGAGCCGAUGUCGGAUUAGCUAGUUGGCGGGGUAAAGGCCCACCAGGGCGACGAUCCGUAGCUGGUCUGAGAGGAUGAUAAGCCACACUGGAGCUGAGCCACGGUCCAGACUCCUACGGGAGGCAGCAGUGGGGAAUAUUGGACAAUGGGCGCAAGCCUGAUCCAGCCAUACCGCGUGGGUGAAGAAGGCCUUCGGGUUGUAAAGCCCUUUUGUUGGGAAAGAAAAGCAGCAGGUUAAUACCCCGCUGUUCUGACGGUACCCAAAGAAUAAGCACCGGCUAACUUCGUG
rnacentral:rRNA from 1 species